UACGUAGGGUACAAGCGUUGUCCGGAAUUAUUGGGCGUAAAGGGCUCGUAGGCGGUCUGUCACGUCGGGAGUGAAAACUCGGGGCUUAACCCCGAGCCUGCUUCCGAUACGGGCAGACUAGAGGUAUGCAGGGGAGAAUGGAAUUCCUGGUGUAGCGGUGAAAUGCGCAGAUAUCAGGAGGAACACCAAUAGCGAAGGCAGCUCGCUGGGACGUUACUGACACUGAGGCGCGAAAGCGUGGGGAGCGAACAGG
rnacentral:rRNA from 1 species